CAUAAACUCCAAUUCCUCUCCCUGUUUAUCCAUAUAGCUUCUUCUCUAUUCCUUUAUAAAGUCCCGGCCUUUCUCCCUCUAACACCUUCUCUUUAACCCAAAACCAGCUUCCUGACCUUUUGAGCUCAUUCCCUAUCCACUUAGAACAGCUCCCUGUUCUCCUAAACCUAUGCCCCUCUAAAUCUUUCUUUAUCCAUUAUCUACCCUCUCUUCCUUCUUAUGACACUCUACCUGUCCCUGUCAUCGCCACUACUCCCUCUCUCUCGCCUACUUCCUGGUGUGUGCACCCAUUACCACCCCCCAGUCUAUAAAAAUGCAGGCCACAGGGAACGGAAACAAAAAAAAUUAAUACUCAGAAAGUGCUUGGAGCGGUGGCUUGCACUUGACUCUAGAAGUUCCUGGUACUACCAUCAUGAAGAAGAAGGAGGAGGAGGAGGAGUUGGAGUCAGAAUCUACUACCUUAAAAAAGUGACAGGCCCAAGAGAUUUUGCAGGUCUGAAAAGGUGACGGAGGUAUGAGACUAAAGGUUUUCUGGGAAUCCACAAGGAGCCCAACCUUCUCCCGGGAGAGAGAUGAGUGAAACAAGAAGGGAAGGAGAACACAGAAGUCCUGAGAGGAGAAAGAAUACGAACCUAAAACAAAACAAACAACCACUGGCAUCUCAGGAAAGGGCUCACUGCAUGCCUCAGACUUAGAAUAAGCAAUUUUUCCUUCAAAAAUAAAAUCUUAUCAGUCAUCACAAAAUCCAUGAAAUAACAUUGUUGAGUAGAACCUGUAUUAUCCUGCAUCUGCUUUCCAGCUUAACUCAUGUAACAAGCAUCCAAAUACCCUUAGCCGGUAAGUCACUGCCUUCACACUAAAGAUCUCUGCAUCACUUCUAAAAAAAUAGUGAAUUCAAGAGGCUAUUGCCACUUCAUAUUACAGCUGACUGUAAUUUCAGUUAAUUUAUAAAUAACUUAAAAACCUUGUGAAUGAAAUGCAUCAAACUACACCUGUGUAAAAGUGGUGUUUCAUGAUGGACUAAAAAUGACUAAUACAGUGUGCUUGAAUUAGAAAAAUUAAGAUUCUAAAUAAAUUUCUAGAGAAUUUCACAAUGGGGGAGCGGUGAAAAUGUUUCUCUGUAUACAAUCUGAUCAUUAACAGACUAGUAAAUCGUAACUUAAUGAUAAGGCAAAAAUAGUAAAACCACACUUUUCCUAUAAAAAGUUACACAUUAUCUUCUGCAGGGAACAGCUAUCACACAGGAAGAAACAAAGAGGUGGCCCCUCUAUUCACACCCAGGAACCCUAGGGAAUGGGGCCUUAGAAUGAUCUAGUCAUCAUCUUCCUCUCCAUCAUCAUGACCAUUUCAUUUCAUCUUCUCCCCGCAAAGACCUUCUUCUUCUUCCUCCUCCUCCUCCUCCUCUUUUCCUUCUUCCGCGUAGCCAUCAUCUUCUUCAUCCUGAAUUUCUUCUUUCAUUAAGUAUGAGAAGCCUACUUCUUCUACUCCCUCUCCCAGUUCUGAGCCUGCUUCAUCUUCCUCUUCAUCCGCAUCCUCGCCUUCCUCCUCUUCCUCUUCAUACCCUUCAGAGAGACCGGCUUCAUCUUCCUCAUCUUCAUCAUCUUCAUCAUCCUCAUCGUCCUCGUCUUCUGAGUCUGGGGCUUCAUUAUCUUCCCUUUCAUAUCCAUCUAAGUUUGUGAUGUGCCGCAGCAGUUUAAAAGUACUUUCUCGGGAAUCUUCCAGGCUUGUGAUCUCAGAGUUAAAUCCAGAUUUUUCAAAUUUUUAAGAUUUUGCAGAGCUUCUACUCUACUCAGAUCUUGGCUUUUUUUUCCACUCAGAUUGAGAUAGGUAAGAUUGGGGCAUUUUUCUGCUAAAACUUCCAAGUCUCCAGAAAUUACAUUGUCACUAAGUUCCAACUUCCGAAGUUUAUUUAGGCUGGGAAGCUGGGCCCGUGAAUUUCAUGCCAUGUUAGCCAUACUCAGAAACUCUAGGUCUUUAAAAGUGUCAUUCAGGUCCUCAAUUUCCCCCGCUGACACACAGGCAAUUAUCAAGGACCAAUUCUGUCACCUCCUCCAGGGCUCUGUUCCUUAACUCCAGGUUAAUCAAUCCUCUUCUUCGUCUCCAUGUCCUCCUCCUCCUCCUCCUCUUCUGGUACCACUCUCCUUUCUCCUUUCCUGCUGUUCCCAUUACUCCAACCUUAAAAUUUUUGAAAAUUUGGAAAUGAAUGAAAAGAAUCGCAAAUAUAAACAUCCACUAUCACCAGAUAGGUGUUGGGGGAGAAAGAAAAGAAUAGCAAAUGGAGUCCAAGGAGUUGGGACUCUUAACUCGUCUGCCCUCACCUCCCUGUCCGGUACCCGUGCGCGCACUCAGACUCACGCACGCGCGUGCACCCCCCGCAGUUCCUUUCCCUUCAGUGGCUGCUCAGAGACUUUGUACUGUUGAUUUAAAUGAGAUUCUG
rnacentral:lncRNA from 1 species